rnacentral:rRNA from 1 species
GAUGAACGCUGGCGGCGUGCCUAAUACAUGCAAGUCGAGCGAACAGAUGAGGAGCUUGCUCCUCUGACGGUAACGGCGGACGUAUCAGGAACACGUUGAGAACCUACCUAUAAGACUGGGAUAACUUCGGGAAACCGGAGCUAAUACCGGAUAAUAUAUUGAGCCUCAUGGUUCAAGAGUUAAAGACGUUUUUUCUGUCACUUAUAGAUGGAUCCGCGGCGCAUUAGCUAGUUGGUAAGGUAACGGCUUACCAAGGCAACAAUGGGUAGCCGACCUGAGAGCGGGUAGCGGCACUCUGGAACUGAGCGACGGCACAGACACCUAGGGGAGGCAGAGGUAGGGACGCGUGGGCGCUGGGGGAAAGCUUGAAGGAGCAACGCAGCGUGAGUGCUGCAGGUCUUCGGAUCGUAAAACUGUGUUAUUAGGGAAGACCAAAUGUGCAAGUAACUAUGCGCGUCUUGACGGUACCUAAUCAGAAAGCAACGGCUAACUACGUG